CAGGGGGUAGCUCAGUUGGUAGAGCGCUCGGUUUGGAUCCGAGAGGCCGCAGGUUCAAAUCCUGUUCCCCUGACCA
rnacentral:tRNA from 1 species